rnacentral:rRNA from 1 species
CACGUAGGAGGCAAGCGUUAUCCGGAUUUACUGGGCGUAAAGCGCGUGCAGGCGGUUCGGCAAGUUGGAUGUGAAAGCUCCUGGCUUAACUAGGAGAGGUCGUUCAAUACUACCGAACUUGAGGGCAUCAGAGGAAGGUGGAAUUCCCGGUGUAGUGGUGAAAUGCGUAGAUAUCGGGAGGAACACCAGUGGCGAAGGCGACCUUCUGGGAUGUUCCUGACGCUCAGACGCGAAGGCUAGGGUAGCAAACGGGAUUAGAUACCCCCGUAGUCC